UUAAUAAUUUCCCCUCCUCCCCCUUUGCGCUCAGUCAGUGACAGACCUGGCUCCUUUCACGCUUUGUCCUCCCUCUUUCUUUCGUUCUUGCUCGCGCUCCCUCUCUCUCUCUUUUUUAUCUUCCUUCCUUUUCCUACUCCUUGUUUCUUUCUCUCCCUGGCUUUUGUGCAGGGGGCCGUGACGAAUGGCUCAGAAAAGAGGGUGCUGUGAGAAACUGGAGCUGCGCUGGCGGAGUGGGUGCUCUUUCAUCAUCUGCCUGCCUCCCUCCAGCUUCCCCGUGGUUCCUCCAAGGCUCCUUUGUGGCUGUAAUCAAAGCCUGAAAUCCAGCUUGAAUCACACGAAGCACAGAGUGUGAGCAGCCCAGCACCACGG